UCCUCAAAAUCUCCCCCAAACUGGGACCCCCUGCCCUUUACUGGGAGCACUGGGAGCUUCUGGCUCCGCCCCCUUUUGUAUUUAUUAAAGGUAUUUUGGGACAAAAUCUCCUUUUUUGGUCAUUUCUGGGAAAGGGGGGGUUGUGGGGGAGGGGCCGGCUGAGCCCUAAUGAGAUUUUGCUAAUAAUGUUUAUAAUUACAGUGAAUAAAUUUUAUUAUUAUUAAAAUUAUAUUAUUAGUAGGGAAUUAUAUUGGUAAAUAUGACUUAAGGGUUACAUUUAUUAUUAUUAUUAUUAUUAUUAUUAUUAUUAUUAUUAUUAUUAUUAUUGGUAUUGUUAUUAUUAUUACUGAAAUAAUAAUAUUAUUUAUUAUUAUGUAAUUAUUAUGAGAAUAUAAUUAUAAUUAUAAUAUUUAUAAUAAUAAAAUUAAAUUAUAUUAGUAAUCAUAACUUGAGGGUAAAAGAAUGCUAAUAAUAGUAGUAGUAGUAGUAAUAAUAAUAAAAAUAAUAAUAAUAUUACCCUCAAUUAUAAUCACUGAUUAAAGUGAAUAAAAAUUAGUAUUAUUUAAAUAUAUUAAUAGUAGGUAAUUAUAUUGGCAAUUAUGACUUUAGGGGAUAUUAAUAAUAAUAAUAUUAAUAUUAUUAUUAUUAUUAUUACUAUGAAUAAUAAUAUAAUAAUUAUUAAUAGUAUAAUUAUAAUAAUAAUGGAAAAAUAUUAUGAAAAAUCAUUUAUAAAAUAACAAAAAGCAAAACAAAAACAAGGAAAAAAUUCAAAACCCAUCACAUAUUUAACCCCAAAAUUAUCCAUUUUUAAUCAGCAAACUUUCCUCAAAAAUCCCAAUUUUCUCCCCAAAAAACGACUCCGGCACCGCUGCUCAAGCCACACCCAUUUAUUGCAGCACAAGCCCCGCCCUCAGCGGAGGAGGGGCAGCAGCACGAAGGGGAGGAGCCACCCGGGCCCGCCCAGCGAUUGGCCCCGCCCCACCGGGCCCUUGAUCCCGUCCUUGCGCCCCAUUGGCCGCCUGGGGGCCACGUGACCGGCGGCCAUAUUGUCUCCGUCAGCCAUCUUGUCUCCGUCAGCCAUCUUGUUUCCGUCAGCCAUCUUGCCCCCGGCAGCCAUCUUGCCGCGGGUGCCAUUUUUCCCGCCCCCAUCCUCCGUGGCGUUAUUGGGCGUGGCCGUGGGGGCGUGGCCGUGCGGCAGCAGCUCCAGCCGGGGCAGAUCGGGCGAGAACAAACUCCUGUCGGCCAUCUUGUCGUUGCAGAGGUCGCCGCGGCAACAGGAGCCGGCCAAUGAGGCGUCGGCGUCGCCGCGGCGCUCGGGGGCGCAGCCGCCAUCGGGGACGCAGCCCCGCAGCUCCCGCCACAGGGUGAGGUUACCUGAGGGGAAAGGGGGCGUGGUUUACGCAGAGUGGGCGGGGUUUAGAGAGAAAGGGGCAUGGUUUAACGCGAAGGGGACGUGGUUUAA
rnacentral:lncRNA from 1 species